rnacentral:rRNA from 1 species
UCGCCUGUUUUAUCAAAAACAUAUCUUAUCGAUAUCAUAAUAAGUAAAACCUGCUCAAUGUAAUUAUAAAUAGCCGCAGAAUUUUUACUGUGCUAAGGUAGCAUAAUCAUUAGUCUUUUAAUUGAAGACUCGUAUGAAAGGUUACACAAUUUAAUUUCUUUAUUAAAUCUAUUAAAACUAAAUUAUUUUAAUCAUAAAAAAAUGAUUAUUAACUAAUUAGACGACAAGACCCUAUUGAACUUAACUUAAGUUAAGCUGGGGCAGCUAACUAAUUACCAUUUUAGAAUUUAACCUUAAAUAAAAGACCCAGUAUAACUGAGUAUAUGAUCAAUGUUACCAUAGGGAUAACAGCGUAAUUUCUUUUUAAAGCUCUCAUUAAAUAAGAAGAUUGCGACCUC